AGUAGCGAGGUGAAUGCGCCGGGUCGAAUUCGUGAGGAGGAGUCAAAAAAUUUAGACAACGUCGACCAACAGAAAACCAAUUACAAGAUGGAUGUAAGAAAAGUAACAGAAUUGUUGCGUGCCACGAUCGACCCAGCGCAACAGAAGCAAGCUGAAGAGCAACUGAAUCAGAUACACAAAAUUAUUGGUUUUGCACCAACAUUACUACAAGUAGUAAUGACUGCGGAGGAUAUGCCUGUGCGACAAGCUGGUGUUAUAUAUUUAAAAAAUUUAAUUACAACAAAUUGGGCUGACAGAGAAAGUGAGAAUGGUCCGGUAGAGUUUAGUAUCCAUGAGCAGGAUAGAGCAAUGAUUCGUGAUGCAAUUGUUGAUGCUCUGGUGCAUGCACCAGAACUCAUCAGAGUACAAUUGGCAGUGUGUGUCAAUAAUAUCGUAAAACAUGACUUUCCUGGAAGAUGGACACAAAUAGUGGACAAAAUCACAAUAUAUUUACAGAAUUCGGAUGCUUCCUGUUGGCCAGGUGUUCUUCUAGCACUUUAUCAACUAGUUAAAAAUUUUGAGUAUAAAAAAGCGGAGGAAAGAGGGCCAUUGAACGAAGCAAUGAAUCUUUUGCUUCCUAUGAUUUAUCAGUUAAUAUUGCGCCUUUUACCAGAUUCUUCUGAACAAUCAGUUUUAUUGCAAAAACAGAUAUUGAAGAUAUUCUUUGCUCUUACUAUGUAUACGCUUCCCUUGGAUUUGAUUUCAAAAGAAGUUUUUUCACAAUGGAUGGACAUAGUACGGCAAGUAGCCGACAGACCCGUUCCGCCUGAAACAAAUAAUCCAGAUUUGGAUGACGAUGAACGCGCAGAAUUACCAUGGUGGAAAUGUAAAAAAUGGGCUCUCCACAUUCUUCAUAGAAUGUUUGAGAGAUACGGCAGUCCUAAAAAUGUAACCAAAGAGUAUAUAGAGUUUUCUGAGUGGUACCUGAGAACCUUUAGCGGAGGUAUACUCGAAGUUCUAUUAAAAAUUUUGGAUCAAUAUCGAAGGAAAGUUUACGUGUCGCCUAGAGUGAUUCAGCAAUCAAUUAAUUACAUUAAUCAGGGAGUGAGUCAUGCGUACUCGUGGAAAUUCUUAAAACCACAUAUGUUCGAAAUAAUUCGUGAUGUACUUUUUCCAAUCCUUUCGUAUUCUGCUGCGGAUGAGGAGCUUUGGAAUAACAAUCCGUACGAAUAUAUCAGAGUAAAAUUCGAUAUAUUUGAAGACUUUGUGUCUCCGGUAACUGCAGCGCAAACAUUAUUGCAUUCUGCUUGCAAAAAGCGUAAGGGUAUGCUUCAAGAAACCAUGCGAUUCUGCAUGGAAGUAUUAACUAGUCCAAAUGCAGACCCCAGACAAAAGGAUGGCGCAUUACAUAUGGUUGGCAGUUUAGCGGACGUCUUAUUAAAGAAGAAAGUAUACAAGGAACAAAUGGACAAGAUGUUGUUACAAUACGUCUUUCCUGAAUUCAGUAGUCUUCAUGGACACAUGAGAGCAAGAGCAUGCUGGGUGCUGCACUAUUUCUCUGAGAUAAAAUUUAAGCAGGAACAAAUAUUAAUCGAGGCAGUUCGAUUGACGAUGAAUGCUCUUCUGACGGACCAAGAUUUACCGGUUAAAGUGGAGGCUGCCAUUGCUUUACAGAUGCUUCUUUCUGCUCAAGAUAAAGCACAAAAAUACGUAGAACCUUUAAUCAAACCAAUAACGCUUGAAUUAUUAACUAUUGUACGAGAAACGGAGAAUGACGAUUUAGCGACUGUUAUUCAGAAAAUUGUUUGUACAUACUCGGAUCAGCUUAUGCCAAUUGCAGUUGAAAUGUGCCAGCAUCUUGCUGCAACUUUCAGUCAAGUGCUCGAAACAGAUGAAGGCAGCGAUGAAAAAGCUAUAACUGCCAUGGGUAUAUUAAACACUAUAGAGACUUUAUUAACUGCGAUGGUAAAACAACCACAAAUUAUGGCACAAUUGCAACCUACCGUGCUUCAGGUCGUCGCUCACAUUUUUGGCGAAAGCGUUAUGGAAUUUUAUGAAGAAGCCCUUUCGUUAGUUUAUGAUUUAACUGGGCAGACAAUUUCGGAAGAUAUGUGGAAAGUCUUAGAAUGGAUGUAUCAGCUCUUUCAAAAAGACGGCUUUGAAUAUUUUACUGAUAUGAUGCCUGCUCUUCAUAAUUACAUCACAGUCGACACGUCGGCUUUUCUCUCAAAUGAAAAUCACGUAUUGGCUAUGUUCAAUAUGUGCAAAGCCGUACUAACUGGGGAUGCCGGAGAAGAUCCAGAAUGUCAUGCUGCCAAAUUAUUGGAGGUCAUAAUUUUGCAAUGUAAAGGUCACAUUGAUCAGUGUAUACCUUCGCUCGUGCAAUUGGUACUGGAACGUUUGAUGCGCGAAGUGAAGACAUCAGAAUUGAGAACAAUGUGUUUGCAAGUAGUAAUCGCAGCUCUUUAUUACAAUCCAGCGCUUUGUCUGGAAACAAUGGAUAGAUUACAAGGAAAUUUUGGUCAGUCGACAGAACCAAUUGCGUCUCACUUCAUUAAACAAUGGAUACACGACACGGACUGUUUUUUGGGGUUGCAUGACAGGAAGUUAUGUGUUCUUGGAUUAUGCACUCUAAUUAGCAUGGGACCAGCAAGACCGCCAGCAGUGAAUGAAUGUGCUCAACAAAUUAUACCAUCUUUAAUCCUACUUUUCGAUGGUUUGAAAAGAGCCUAUGCGGCUAAGGUAACUGACACCGACGAUGAAGAAAACGAGGACGACGACAGCGAUAUCGACGAAGAGGUAUUAUCAUCGGAUGAGGAUGAAGUCGACGAUGCUAAUGAAGAAUAUUUGGAGAAACUGCAAGACAAGGUGACGAGGUCGUCUACGCAACACGGUUUUAAUAUAUCUACUUCGCUUCAAGAUGGCCAUGGCGAUCAUACGUCGGAUGAUGACUAUGAUGGCUCAGAAUACGAUGCCAAUGAGGAAACUCCACUUGAAUGCUAUGUCACACCUUUAGAUUCGGAAGACACGAAUCAAGACGAAUACAUUGUUUUCAAAGAAGUAAUGCAAAAUAUUGAAAGAUCAGACACAGUUUGGUACAGAGCAUUGACCGGUCAUCUGACCUCAGAACAACAAAAAGCAUUACAGGAAAUUAUUCUUCUGGCGGAUCAGCGCAAAGCAGCUUUGGAAAGCAAAAGAAUUGAACAGAGCGGUGGUUAUGCUUUUCACUCGCAGACGGUACCUACAUCGUUCAACUUCGGUGGUACGCCCCUGACCCGAUAAAGACUCUUGAUCGUUUAUAUUUUUAGCUUAAGUAAGUAAAUAAAUUGUGAAGCAUCCAAGUCGCGUAUCCUUAACGAUACAGUAAAAAUUCCCACUCCGUUAAAAACCGAGUUACAACGAGUCAAAUCGAACAUAAAGAGCUCUUUUUUUUGUUUGUUUCUUCACGUUUUUCUGGCUUUUCAUGACUAUAGCUCGGUACAUACAACAAUGGUAGCAUCCUUUCGAGCGUUUGGAAAUCCAUUCCACGAUGGAAUCUGCGGAGAAGCACGCUUCUUCUCGUAACACACACUAGUAAAACAUUCCAGAGAAUAAGUCCUGAUCUCGAUUUCCAAAUCACCGUGCUUCUUCGCCGAGCUCUUAGCCAAUCCAUCGUCCAGCGCGAUCGAAUCAUUUUUUUUUUCUUUUUU